rnacentral:snRNA from 1 species
GUAAUCUCUUAAAAGACAUUUGAUAAGAUUGGAAUGAUAAAGAGUAGAUCAACAUGGCCCUUGCACAAGUAUGGCACACCCUACUAGUAGCAGUAGCAGCAACUGUAUUUU